AGAGUUUGAUCCUGGCUCAGGACGAACGCUGGCGGCGUGCCUAAUACAUGCAAGUAGAACGCUGAAGAGAGGAGCUUGCUCUUCUUGGAUGAGUUGCGAACGGGUGAGUAACGCGUAGGUAACCUGCCUUGUAGCGGGGGAUAACUAUUGGAAACGAUUGCUAAUACCGCAUGAUCAUUGGAGGACGCAUUUCAUUUAUUGAAAAGGGGCAAUUGCUCCACUACAAGAUGGACCUGCGUGUUAUUAGCUAGUAGGUGAGGUAACGGCUCACCUAGGCGACGAUACAUAGCCGACCUGAGAGGGUGAUCGGCCACACUGGGACUGAGACACGGCCCAGACUCCUACGGGAGGCAGCAGUAGGGAAUCUUCGGCAAUGGGGGCAACCCUGACCGAGCAACGCCGCGUGAGUGAAGAAGGUUUUCGGAUAAAAAAGCUCUGUUGUAAGUCAAGAACGAGUGUGAGAGUGGAAAGUUCACACUGUGACGGUAGCUUACCAGAAAGGGACGGCUAACUACGUGCCAGCAGCCGCGGUAAUACGUAGGUCCCGAGCGUUGUCCGGAUUUAUUGGGCGUAAAGCGAGCACAGGCGGUUUGAUAAGUCUGAAGUUAAAGGCUGUGGCUCAACCAUAGUUCGCUUUGGAAACUGUCAAACUUGAGUGCAGAAGGGGAGAGUGGAAUUCCAUGUGUAGCGGUGAAAUGCGUAGAUAUAUGGAGGAACACCGGUGGCGAAAGCGGCUCUCUGGUCUGUAACUGACGCUGAGGCUCGAAAGCGUGGGGAGCGAACAGGAUUAGAUACCCUGGUAGUCCACGCCGUAAACGAUGAAGUGCUAAAGAAAGGGAUCCUUUCCGGGAUUCAGAGCCGCAAGCUAACGCAUUAAGCACUCCGCCUGGGGAGUACGACCGCAAGGUUGAAACUCAAAGGAAUUGACGGGGGCCCGCACAAGCGGUGGAGCAUGUGGUUUAAUUCGAAGCAACGCGAAGAACCUUACCAGGUCUUGACAUCCCGAUGCUAUUUCUAGAGAUAGAAAGUUACUUCGGUACAUCGGUGACAGGUGGUGCAUGGUUGUCGUCAGCUCGUGUCGUGAGAUGUUGGGUUAAGUCCCGCAACGAGCGCAACCCCUAUUGUUAGUUGCCAUCAUUCAGUUGGGCACUCUAGCGAGACUGCCGGUAAUAAACCGGAGGAAGGUGGGGAUGACGUCAAAUCAUCAUGCCCCUUAUGACCUGGGCUACACACGUGCUACAAUGGUUGGUACAGCGAGUUGCGAGUCGGUGACGGCAAGCUAAUCUCUUAAAGCCAAUCUCAGUUCGGAUUGUAGGCUGCAACUCGCCUACAUGAAGUCGGAAUCGCUAGUAAUCGCGGAUCAGCACGCCGCGGUGAAUACGUUCCCGGGCCUUGCACUCACCGCCCGUCA
rnacentral:rRNA from 1 species